rnacentral:rRNA from 2 species
ACUGGCAGGCUAGAGUCUUGUAGAGGGGGGUAGAAUUCCAGGUGUAGCGGUGAAAUGCGUAGAGAUCUGGAGGAAUACCGGUGGCGAAGGCGGCCCCCUGGACAAAGACUGACGCUCAGGUGCGAAAGCGUGGGGAGCAAACAGGAUUAGAUACCCUGGUAGUCCACGCCGUAAACGAUGUCGAUUUGGAGGUUGUGCCCUUGAGGCGUGGCUUCCGGAGCUAACGCGUUAAAUCGACCGCCUGGGGAGUACGGCCGCAAGGUUAAAACUCAAAUGAAUUGACGGGGGCCCGCACAAGCGGUGGAGCAUGUGGUUUAAUUCGAUGCAACGCGAAGAACCUUACCUGGUCUUGACAUCCACAGAACUUUCCA